UCUGAGAAGUCCCCAGAAUCCUAAAUGUA
rnacentral:piRNA from 1 species